CCGUCGCCGCCGCCGGGUACCGCGCCGUCGCGCCGGACUGGCGCGGGUACGGGCUCUCCGACCAGCCGCCGGAGCCGGAGGCGGCGGAGUACGACGACCUCGUCGAGGAUCUCCUCGCCAUCCUCGACGCCCUCGCCGUGCCCAAGGUACGUAAGCUCCUCAGUUUAAUCGAUCCUUUUACGAAUUUUUUUAGCAGGUUUCCAGUUUUGAGUCCUACUCGUGCAUGCAGACUGUGAAGCUGUGUAAGGCCUUCUUGCUAUAAAACUUGCAAACGGAAGGCAUAAUUCAAAACAGAAUUUUUCACUUCUUGUGUGCAUCCUGGUUAGCAAUUUGUAACGAAACAUAUAAACUUCCACUGUCAUACACAGCAAGGGAGAUAUUUGGAGAGGAUAAUUUGUUUUCUGUCGUUAACUAGUACUGUAGUCUAGUAUUCAGUUGGUACCACGUCGGUAAGCACCAAGCCACCAACAAUCAAGAUUCAAGAGUAUGUUAGAGGCAUGAAAAAUGAGUGCAAGAUAUUAAGGUGCCCUUUUUCUGAGUAAAAGAUAAAAGAUAAGGGUUUCAAUUUCUCCAUAAUGAAACCAGCUGCUUAUAAAUGUCUUGCCUUCAGUAAAAAAAUCCUUUAGUUUGUUGUUUGCUCCUGAUAGUUUAUAUGUUUCUUCUGUCAGGCCUUUCUUGUUGGGAAGGACUUUGGGGCCAUGCCAGCUUAUAGUUUUGCUCUCUGUCAUCCAAAUCGUACAUGUGGUGUGAUGUGUUUGGGCAUCCCUUUCGGCGUUAAUAGUUCAUCCUUAAACACCUUACCAGAAGGAUUCUACAUUUUACGUUGGGCGGUAAUUCUCUAACUAUCAUGCCAAAAUAUUGUGUGCAAGAUUCGCUUAUAGUGACAGUGGAAGAACUCGUCUUGCAGCAACCAGGAAGAGCAGAAGCUGACUUUGGCAAGUAUGAUAUCAGGAGAGUCGUGCGCACUAUCUACAUACUCUUCUCUAGGAACGAGAUCCCCAUAGCUAAGGAAGAUCAAGAGAUCAUGGAUCUUGCAGACUUAUCGACACCCCUCCCCGAGUGGUUUAGUGAGGAGGAUCUUGAUGUCUACUCAUCCCUCUAUGAGAAGUCUGGUUUUCGAUAUCCGCUACAGAUGCCAUAUAGGUAAACAUCAAUUCAUCAGUUGUCAGCACUCAUAACACUAAGUUUAUCAGUGUUUGAUAGUUUGGGAUUUGUGCUAUGCUUUGUUAGGUCCAUGCAUCAAAACAAACCAAUUGGAGAUGCAAAAUUUCAAGUCCCGGUGUUUGUUGUCAUGGGAGAGAAAGAUUAUGUCUUCAAGAUACCUGGUAUCGAGUCUGUUAUGAAAGACGGCAGCAUGGAGAAGCAUGCACCAGACCUAAAGAUCACCUACAUUCCUGAAGGAAGCCAUUUUGUGCAGGAGCAGUUCCCUGAGUUUGUGAAUGAGCUUCUUCUUAGCUUCUUGAAAGACCAUCCUAUGGCUGUUUAGAAACUCCACAUUGUGCCUCACCCUUACUACAACUUCGCUACAAGAACACUAUAUUGUUCGAUAUUAUGAUGUGAAUUAUCAAUGAAGGAACUGGUAUGGUUGAUGUUACUUUCAGCAACGCCAGUUAUGUUUGAACUUGUUAUACCCUGUGUCUGCGGCUAGUGUUGUCAGCAAUGGGAAGAUUUUUUUUGUUUUUUUCUCCUGGCUGUUAAUGUUAUACCCUGAUCUUAGCAAAUCAAGGCAUUAGUACUUUGACACAAAAACAUGCUUAGAGAAUCACCAACGGUUCCCUUAUUCCAUCCCAAUCCUAGUUUUUUGGAAUUUUGGUGAAAAAUAAUGCCUCCAAUAGAUGUCCUAUUUGAAUCCUAAUUGUUUGGAAACCCUUUGCCGCAUCCUUUGUUCUAUUUACUUGAGGGAGAGCGACGUCGUGUCUGUCGUCCCCUAUCUCUCAUUCGCACGAGAUUUUUCUCAAGGGUGAGCGUCACGAGCGCAUGUGAGCGCCAGGAGCACGUGUGAGAGGGAGGAAAACGGGAAAAUUGGUGUUAGUUUAACAGAAGUGCCCACCUUUAGUUUUGGGAUAUUUUAGGCUUUCUCUUGGAGAGAUCAAUUUUUUGGCUACCUAUUUUCACUUCAAUAAGCCAAAAAAGAAAUCUUUGGGGGAAGAUUAUACAUAAUCUCCUAGUGAUGUUCUUAGGGACUCUUUGAAAUACAGGGUUCCAAUAAUCUAGGUGAUUUUAGUGCCACAUUUUCCUGAAUUUGGGUUAUCCCAGGAUCGGAUCCUAUAUCCCUUAUUAACACUCCCGAUAAUCUGGGUGAUUUUAGUGCCACAUUUUCCAGAAUUUGGGUUAUCCCAGGAUCCGAUCCUAUAUCCCUAAUUAACACUCCCGGCGAUUCUACCCAACUAGGAUUAAAAAAACGCGAAUAUUAGGGAAGGACCUAAUAUCAAAUAAUUAGAAGGGGUGAGGCUUCGAACCCAGGUCGUCUAUUCCACCACCUUGUGGAGCUAGUCGGAAGACUACUUGAGUGUUUCUCAAAAGAGGGAUGCAACAAAGGACUUUUAAGGAGGUCACCUAUCCUAGUACUCUAGGAUUACUAUAUGAUUCUUGAAAAUCCAACUAAUUAACAUUCUUUGAACUAAAUACACCCUAUAAGCGUACAUAUAUAAAUAAAAAACAAAUCUAUAAAUUAAAUGUUGUGUCGUUUAAAUUCCAAUUAUAUCUUGAACCACAUGAAAAACUCACGUUACCUCUUGGGUCACUUGAUUACAUGCAAAAAGAACAAAUUUUAAGACAAUAAGGCCUGGUUUAGUUCCUAACUUUUUCUUUAAAUUUUUAACUUUUCCAUCACAUCAAAGCUUUCCUACACAUACAAAUUUCCAUUUUUUCCGUUUCAUCGUUCCAAUUUCAAUCAAACUUUCAAUUUUGUCGUGAACUAAACACAUCCUAAUUAGAAAUAAAUGAUGUGAAACCCAAUGCGUAUUUCUUAGUAUUUAUUGGGAAAAGAAAAUACUUCCUCCGUCCUUUAAUAUAAGGGAUUUUGAUAUUUUUGUUUUUACCAUUUAUCUUAUUAAAAACUUGUGUAAAUAUAAAAAAAUAAAAAGUUGUACUUAAAAUACUAUGGUUAAUAAAGUAAGUCACAAAUAAAAUAAUUAAUAAUUUUUAAAAAAAAUUAAUAAGACGAAUAGUUAAACCGUACGAAUAGUUAAGAGGACAGAGCCUACUUUUGUCAACGAGUUGGAGUUCGACGUGGAGCAGCAAUGAAUAGCCGCAAAGUACGGUAGCUUUUCCCAUCCACGUCACACUUCACGCUGUCACGUCGCGAUCUGCUCUCUCUUCCCACUGCAGUGCUGCCGCGUGAGCGUGACCGCGUCGUCGUCCACGGCGAGCUCGACACCAUGGCCGCCGCCACGGAGCAGCCGCAGCAGAUCACCGAGAUCGAGCACGCCCACCUCCCCGUGCGUGGGCUCAGCCUCCACGUCGCGCAGGCGGGCAAAGGUACGGCCGCCUCCGCGCGCUAGCCCUCCUCCCCCCCCCCCCCCCGACCACUUCGUUCGAUUCCUUGGCUUGCUUUGCCCGCCCGCCGCGCCGCGCCGCGCGCGCCGCCGUAGCUAGCCCACCAGGUGUUUGUUUGGCUGUCGCAUGCAGGGGAGCUCGGGACGGUGGUGUUCCUGCACGGGUUCCCGGAGAUAUGGUACUCGUGGCGCCACCAGAUGCUCGCCGUCGCCGCCGCCGGGUACCGCGCCGUCGCGCCCGACUGGCGCGGGUACGGGCUCUCCGACCAGCCGCCGGAGCCGGAGGCGGCGGAGUACGACGACCUCAUCGAGGAUCUCCUCGCCAUCCUCGACGCCCUCGCCGUGCCCAAGGUAAGCGCCUGGAUCAGUUUGGCUUUUUCACAAAUUUUAUCCUCUUUGAGUUACUGAGUAAAUGAGAGGCAAAAUUCAUAAUUGGUUGGACAAAGUUUAGAAGUUUCGAUGGAUUUUUGUAGUGUAUUGUUUGAGUCAUGGAUAGGUUGUGACCAAACAAACAAACUUUCAAUAUCGUAAGGGAGAGAUUUGGAGAGGAUAAUUGAUAACACUAUCAGUUCUACCGAAUUGAUCUGAAGCUGGUAGAUGUAGCACCAACAAUCAAGAGUAUAUUAGAGGCCUGAAAAAUGAUUACAAGAUAUUAAGGGGCACUUUUUUUUCUGUAUAAAGGAUGGAAGGAUAUCAAUUAUUCCCUACUAAACCAAUUCCUCUUUUUUUUUUUAUUUUCUUGUGAUAACUUAUACGGUUCUUCGUGUCAGGC
rnacentral:lncRNA from 1 species